CCUACGGGAGGCAGCAGUGGGGAAUUUUGGACAAUGGGCGAAAGCCUGAUCCAGCCAUUCCGCGUGAGUGAAGAAGGCCUUCGGGUUGUAAAGCUCUUUCGCAAGGGAAGAAAACUUAGAUACUAAUAUUAUCUGAGGUUGACGGUACCUUGAUAAGAAGCACCGGCUAACUACGUGCCAGCAGCCGCGGUAAUACGUAGGGUGCGAGCGUUAAUCGGAAUUACUGGGCGUAAAGCGUGCGCAGGCGGUUUUGUAAGUCAGAUGUGAAAUCCCCGAGCUCAACUUGGGAACUGCGUUUGAAACUACAAGACUAGAAUAUGUCAGAGGGGGGUAGAAUUCCACGUGUAGCAGUGAAAUGCGUAGAGAUGUGGAGGAAUACCAAUGGCGAAGGCAGCCCCCUGGGAUAAUAUUGACGCUCAUGCACGAAAGCGUGGGGAGCAAACAGGAUUAGAUACCCUGGUAGUCCACGCCCUAAACGAUGUCUACUAGUUGUUGGUGGAGUAAAAUCCAUGAGUAACGCAGCUAACGCGUGAAGUAGACCGCCUGGGGAGUACGGUCGCAAGAUUAAAACGUCAAAAGUAGUAGUAGCGNGNGACGNGCGACGACGACGACGAGGGAGGAGG
rnacentral:rRNA from 1 species